CCCUGCGGCCGAGCCUUGUUUGCUUCUAAAGCGGGUUUAAGGACUUUGAGGAGUCCGAGUGCGUGCUGCAGACACCGGGAGCGGCACAGAGCAGCACGUUACUCUCUCGCGGGGAAUCGGACACUGCGCUGGUCCUUCCUGACAAGUUUUGGAUAACCAGAGUCGGGCUCCCUGGAGUUUGUCAUCUAUAACAGAUUUCUUCUGGUCAAUAGCAGAUUUUGUGGUUCUGUUUUUCCAGAGCAUUAUUCAACCAGAUUUGAGAAGAAGAGGCUACACGUCUUCCUCCUAUUCAGGAUACCAUGAUGGAAGAGGGCCUCCAGCACAUCCUCGGCGUAGGAUGGGCCGAAUAAAUCACUGGGGUGGAGGCCCAAGUCCACCACCAAUGGCUGGAGGUGGAUGAGGAAGGUAAACGCCUGCUGAAGAGGCAGGCACAAGCAUACACAUCUACCAGAUGAAGAGUUAGUGGUGGACCAAAUGGGGAUGUGUAUGCCUGACUGGAAACUGUUCUGUGAUACAAGCAGGUUAAUGAAGUUGUACUGGGAACUCCUUCUUCAAGGAUCCGGUGUAACUGAACCACAGUUUCAUUAAAUACAUGUUUACUGUCUAAAGUCUUUGUAUAGUUUCUGAACAUUUUACUGUAGUUGCAAAGUACUAAGUAAAUUAUAUUUGGCUUGUCA